AGAGUUUGAUCAUGGCUCAGAUUGAACGCUGGCGGCAUGCCUUACACAUGCAAGUCGAACGCGAAAGGGGGCAACCCUGAGUAGAGUGGCGAACGGGUGAGCAAUACAUCGGAACAUUUCCUGUAGCGGGGGACAACCCCGAGAAAUCGGGGCUAAUACCGCAUACGAUCUACGGAUGAAAGUGGGGGACCGCAAGGCCCCACACUAUAGGAGUGGCCGAUGUCGGAUUAGCUAGUUGGUGAGGUAAUGGCCCACCAAGGCGACGAUCCGUAGCUGGUUUGAGAGAACGACCAGCCACACUGGGACUGAGACACGGCCCAGACUCCUACGGGAGGCAGCAGUGGGGAAUUUUGGACAAUGGGCGAAAGCCUGAUCCAGCCAUGCCGCGUGAGUGAAGAAGGCCUUCGGGUUGUAAAGCUCUUUCAGCGGGGACGAAAUAGCGCGGGGUAACAUCCCGCGUCGAUGACGGUACCCGAAGAAGAAGGACCGGCUAACUACGUGCCAGCAGCCGCGGUAAUACGUAGGGUCCAAGCGUUAAUCGGAAUUACUGGGCGUAAAGCGUGCGUAGGCGGUUUCGCAAGUCCGAUGUGAAAUCCCCGGGCUUAACCUGGGAACUGCGUUGGAAACUACGAAGCUAGAGUGCGGCAGAGGGGGGUGGAAUUCCAGGUGUAGCAGUGAAAUGCGUAGAGAUCUGGAGGAACACCGAUGGCGAAGGCAGCCCCCUGGGCUAGCACUGACGCUGAUACACGAAAGCGUGGGGAGCAAACAGGAUUAGAUACCCUAGUAGUCC
rnacentral:rRNA from 1 species